rnacentral:rRNA from 1 species
AUUCCAGCUCCAAGAGCGUAUAUUAAAGUUGUUGCAGUUAAAAAGCUCGUAGUUGGAUUUCUGGUACAAUGCGCCUGGCCCGCGACGGUUACGUCUGUGAGUGCCGGUGCGCGUUUGCCAUCCUUCUAGAAAACGUUUCUACCCUUCGCUGGGCCGGAUUCGCGAUCUAGAUCUUUUACUUUGAAAAAAUUAGAGUGUUUAAAGCAGGCUUUUGCUAUGAAUACAUUAGCAUGGAAUAAUAAUCUAGGACUUCGGUUCUAUUUUGUUGGUUUCUAGUACUGAAGUAAUGAUUGAUAGGGAUAGUUGGGGGUGCUAGUAUUGAGCGGCCAGAGGUGAAAUUCUUGGAUUCGCUCAAGACUAACUUAUGCGAAAGCAUUCACCAAGGAUGUCUUCAUCA